AGCGAACGCUGGCGGCAGGCCUAACACAUGCAAGUCGAACGAACUCUUCGGAGUUAGUGGCGGACGGGUGAGUAACACGUGGGAACGUGCCUUUAGGUUCGGAAUAACUCAGGGAAACUUGUGCUAAUACCGAAUGUGCCCUUCGGGGGAAAGAUUUAUCGCCUUUAGAGCGGCCCGCGUCUGAUUAGCUAGUUGGUGAGGUAAAGGCUCACCAAGGCGACGAUCAGUAGAUGGUCUGAGAGGAUGAUCAGCCACAUUGGGACUGAGACACGGCCCAAACUCCUACGGGAGGCAGCAGUGGGGAAUCUUGCGCAAUGGGCGAAAGCCUGACGCAGCCAUGCCGCGUGAAUGAUGAAGGUCUUAGGAUUGUAAAAUUCUUUCACCGGGGACGAUAAUGACGGUACCCGGAGAAGAAGCCCCGGCUAACUUCGUG
rnacentral:rRNA from 1 species